GUCCUUAUACGGGCGUGCGCAGUGGUGGGUGUGGGCCUAGUUCGUAGAUGGCGUGGGCUGUGUCCGUUACGGCAGUGUGCUGAGCCUAGGAACAGAACGUCGUCUUGAGAGCUGAGCCGUUCGUUCGUUAGUACGGGAAGUGGAUGAGAAACCAAGCCGUGUAGUUACUCAUAUCUCGCCGGGAGUUUGAUUUGAAACGGCGCGGCUGAUUCUACCGGCGACGAGCCCAUGGAGGCCAACGGAUUGGAGUUCCUGCUAGAUUUGAUCAACUUGUGCGUUCCAGGUUCUCCCUUCAUGAGGAGUUUACCGAUAACCUGGAGCAUCCAGAUCCGGUGCCCCCUGCUGUGCUGCCGCGAUUUCGGAGAGAAUCAGGUCGUAGUGGAGGAAUGGAACUGUGCGUGAGGCUGCGCCCAAGUGGUCGGCAGCCUAGCCUGCAGAGAAGUGGAACACUUCGCCUGUGCAGUCAGAGCAGUCCCCCGGGAAGGUGAAUCCGGCCCGAGCACCAGGAUAGAAGAGGUGAUGAACUGUUGAUAAUUUUCACUACUGAUUUGCAUUAGUAGUUGAGAAAAAUUUGCUGGGGCUACGUGCGUAUAAAUUUAAUUGUUUAGAUAUUUCAAUUACAACAUCUGUCGCUCAUCUAUGGUUGUGAAAUUUUGCUUUUGGUUUUUCAUUCCUUUUUGUGUGGGUGAGUCUCCAGCAAUGGAUUUUUGGUGUAGUCUUAAGCAAACUGAGUUAGCUGUUCAUUCGUUACAGGCUGCAGCUGGGCAGUGCUGAUGUAAAUGUUAAAUCACUUAAGCAAAUGUUUACAACUCAUUGACGGUUCCUGAUUCAGUUAAAUUAAAUGCUGAUGCACAUCAAUUUAUCAGCACAAACAUUUUUUGGGGACUGUUUUGUCCAGACAUAUGGUUCUCAUUUCCAAUAAAAUUUCGCGAAAAUUGCAUAUCUUUCAGUAGGCAUAAGAAUAUUUGUAUUUCGGUCAAAAUUGCAUUGGGGCAAAAUAUUUAAGUAAACGUGAAUUUUAGCAGAUUUAAAUAGAACACAAAUUUCAUCCAACUCUGGUUAUAUUUCAGUCAAAGUCAAGUCAGAUUUUUUUUCACUCGGCCAAACUGAACCGAAAUGACAAUGCGGUUGAUUUCAGUGAUGGCCCAAUUCUGAUCGCAAUCAAGAAAAUGAGCUGUGAUAAAACAUUCCAUAGAUCCAAAGUACAUUAUGGUCAACUGUAUUCCCUCGUCACAGAAUAUCAUUAGUGGAUUCUUAAGGAUUGCGACUUCUUUUAGUUAUCUUUAUUAUUAUUCUUUGUUGCGAUGGCUGCUACUGUGCAUUAUACUUUUCUUAAAACACUUGGUUCUUGGGUUGAUCCAUUAGGAUGAUGGUGCAGCAGCCAUUGUACUUAAGAACUUAAAGGCUGAUCUCGGCAAAUAUGCAACGAGGUUAUCAGAAUGAUUGCUGAUAUGUCUGAAGAUCAAACAUGCAUUGCCACCUGGGAUGUGCCUGAAACAGUUGAAGGGAAAAUGGUCUGUGUCCAUUGCAUCUCUUGUGCUAAAUAGCCUAUCCUAGAGUAAUUCAGGUUAAUAUUAGUUUGAUGUUGUUCCAAACAGGUUUGCCUAUUCCUGUGACAAAAUUGAUGUGUGCAUGGGUCUUGUCCCUUAACAAAAUUGAUGUGCAAAUCCCAGCAGGUUCCAAUCAAGUUAACGGCUUUUCUUCUGGUACUUUGAUGGCUUGAUUAAUUAGGAGGAUCGAUGCCUGAAAACAGGAGUUCAUGUAGCAGAACAAAGAAGCAGAGAUGAAGAAGUGUCAAGAGAAAGGAACUCACAUGAGAAAUUCUGAAUCUUCAAGGCUCGUUUCAUGUAUUUCAUAUUUUGAACUGUUGAAGAUGUUAUUGUACUUUUUGGCUGUUAAUAUGUGUUUAGAAUAAUUAUUCACAGUAAAUUCUGUGUUUAGAAUAACUGUUGAAGAUGAUACAUGGGAUUCAGCUUCUAUGCCUAGAAUAAGUAUUCACAGUAAAAUCUGGAUGUGCAUAGCACAUAGCAGCUAGUAUGCAAAGUUGAUCAUGGUGCUAUUGCAGGGGCUUGCACUGUUUUGUUCUCCGCUGAUCAUAUCAGCUUGUAAAAUCUAUACAGUAUAGUGGCCUUUUCUGA